UUCUUAGCUGCGAUUCCUAGGAUUCUAGAAUUAACUCGUGCUUUUCCUUGCGAACACCGUCAUCAUUGCUUCACAUAUAGUGGGAAGACUAUGGUGGGUGGCCCCACCCACACCCACACCCACACCACAUCCCGCAGUGAUACAACCAGGCCCGUGGUCCACGCCCUUCAGACUCUCGCGGUCUCCGCCCUGGCUCGUCGCGCUAGGCCCCUGCAGCUGGGGCUCUCCACUGCCUCCAUGGGCGUGCCUUCUUCAGAAGUCUUGGGUUGUAGUCCAGUCUCAACCUCUAACCGGAGCCUCUCGCCUCUAAUGCGCAGAGAGGGGAAUGACGCCAGGCACCUUCACCCACAUCCUGGAGUGGCAGAUGGGGGUUACCAGUCACUUUGAUGCCAAAAUCAUAUUGGAUAACAGGAGCUACUCUACAAGGAAGGAAAAGAAAAUAUGAAAACAAAAACCCAAAUCGAGAAGCCUCCUUAACCGGCCCCCGCGGUGUCUUGGCUGCCCCUGCCCGACCGGGGAGCGCUCCGCCCUCCCAACCCCUAGCGCGGAGAAGGAGGCUGAAACAGCCAAAGAG
ensembl:lncRNA